CCUACGGGAGGCAGCAGUAGGGAAUCUUUCACAAUGGGCGAAAGCCUGACGGAGCAACGCCGCGUGCAGGAUGAAGGCCUUCGGGUUGUAAACUGCUUUUAUAAGCGAGAAAUAUGAUGGUAACUUAUGAAUAAGGAUCGGCUAAAUACGUGCCAGCAGCCGCGGUCAUACGUAGGAUCCGAGAAUUAUACGGAGUGACUGGGUGUAAAGAGUUGCGUAGGUGGCGUAAUAAGUAGCUAGUGUAAUCUGGUGGCUCAACCAUUCAGACUAUUAGCUAAACUGUUAAGCUCGAGACCGUUAGGGGUAAGUGGAAUUUCGAGUGUAGGAGUGAAAUCCGUAGAUAUUAGAAGGAACACCAGUAGCGUAGGCAGGUUGCUGGGACAGUUCUGACGCUAAGGCACGAAAGCGUAGGGAGCAAACGGGAUUAGAUACCCUAGUAGUC
rnacentral:rRNA from 1 species